rnacentral:lncRNA from 1 species
UUUUAUCCUUUUUUUCAAAGAUUUUUUGGGAACUUGUGCUCUUUUUAUACGACGUCAUCAGACAUGGUCGCAUUAAUUACGUUUAUGUUGGUACUUCUUGUUUUCUGGUUUUUUUUGUUUUUUUUUUGGUUAAUGGUUUGUGUUCCUCCUUUAAGUCUAAGAUAAGACAACAAUUGUGUUUUUUUAGUCGCAAUACAGCAUGCUUUUUCCAACUGAUUUCUACUGUGUGCUCUUAUAUUCUGCUGUUGUACCUUUAGUUUAGGCAAGGGGAGGGUGAAAGACAGAGAAACACGUUUACUUCGCCGAACAUUUCAAGGUUCUUACUGUAUAAUUUUGACAAUUUUCAUUUAGAGUUUACAUCAUAUUAUAUUUCCAUCUUAUUGUUCUCAUUUUAGGAGUCAUAUUGUAUAAUUUUGACCAUGAACCGCUAAUAUUUAGCUUUCAUAUAAUGUAUUUUUGUCAUAACAUAAUUUACGUUAGGAUUCACACAUGGUAGGUCAAAGUAUAUUGAUGUUAGUUCUGUUUUCCUGACAUCGUGUUAUAUUGUCUCAAUAUUACAUUUCAGUAUUAAAAUCAUUGUGUUUGUUACUGUAUGAUUACAUUUAAUGGUCCAUAUCUUCUUAAUCCUCAUUGUAUGAUUAACAUAUAAGGGACCACAUAAUGUUAUUUGUUUUUAAUUCACAUUUUAGGUUGCAAAUCGUUCUAUUUGUUACUAUUGGAUUCUGUUGCAUGUGACUAUGAUUCACAUGUAAAUGUUAUUUUUUUUUAAUCGUAGUACUUUGUCAGUGUUGUUGUUUCUUAAAUAGUUUUAAAUCAUGUUUUUAUGACAAUGCUGUCAUGUAUAUAUAAACAGUAUCUGUAUAUUAAAG